UAGCUUCUGCACUGAAGGCCUUGGUAGC
rnacentral:piRNA from 1 species